rnacentral:rRNA from 1 species
UACGAAGGGGGCUAGCGUUGUUCGGAAUUACUGGGCGUAAAGCGCACGUAGGCGGACUAUUAAGUCAGGGGUGAAAUCCCGGGGCUCAACCCCGGAACUGCCUUUGAUACUGGUAGUCUCGAGUCCGGAAGAGGUGAGUGGAAUUCCGAGUGUAGAGGUGAAAUUCGUAGAUAUUCGGAGGAACACCAGUGGCGAAGGCGGCUCACUGGUCCGGUACUGACGCUGAGGCACGAAAGCGUGGGGAGCAAACAGG